GACGAACGCUGGCGGCGUGCCUAAUACAUGCAAGUUGAGCGCUGAAGGUUGGUACUUGUACCAACUGGAUGAGCAGCGAACGGGUGAGUAACGCGUGGGGAAUCUGCCUUUGAGCGGGGGACAACAUUUGGAAACGAAUGCUAAUACCGCAUAAAAACUUUAAACACAAGUUUUAAGUUUGAAAGAUGCAAUUGCAUCACUCAAAGAUGAUCCCGCGUUGUAUUAGCUAGUUGGUGAGGUAAAGGCUCACCAAGGCGAUGAUACAUAGCCGACCUGAGAGGGUGGUCGGCCACAUUGGGACUGAGACACGGCCCAAACUCCUACGGGAGGCAGCAGUAGGGAAUCUUCGGCAAUGGACGAAAGUCUGACCGAGCAACGCCGCGUGAGUGAAGAAGGUUUUCGGAUCGGAAAACUCUGUUGGUGGGGAAGAACGUUGGUGAGAGUGGAAAGCUCAUCAAGUGACGGUAACUACCCAGAAAGGGACGGCUAACUACGUG
rnacentral:rRNA from 1 species